GAUGAACGCUGGCGGUCUGCUUAACACAUGCAAGUCGAACGAGAUUCUUCGGAAUCUAGUGGCGGACGGGUGAGUAACGCGUGAGAAUCUGCCCUUAGGAGGGGGAUAACAGUUGGAAACGACUGCUAAGACCCCAUAUGCCGAGAGGUGAAACAAAUUUUGCCUGAGGAUGAGCUCGCGUCCGAUUAGCUAGUUGGUGAGGUAAGAGCUCACCAAGGCGACGAUCGGUAGCUGGUCUGAGAGGAUGAUCAGCCACACUGGGACUGAGACACGGCCCAGACUCCUACGGGAGGCAGCAGUGGGGAAUUUUCCGCAAUGGGCGAAAGCCUGACGGAGCAAGACCGCGUGCGGGAAGAAGGCCUGUGGGUUGUAAACCGCUUUUGAUAGGGAAGAAGUUCUGACGGUACCUAUCGAAUCAGCCUCGGCUAACUCCGUGCCAGCCGCCGCUGUAAAAC
rnacentral:rRNA from 1 species